rnacentral:rRNA from 1 species
UGGGGAAUAUUGCACAAUGGGCGCAAGCCUGAUGCAGCCAUGCCGCGUGUGUGAAGAAGGCCUUCGGGUUGUAAAGCACUUUCAGCGAGGAGGAAGGUGGUGAACUUAAUACGUUCAUCAAUUGACGUUACUCGCAGAAGAAGCACCGGCUAACUCCGUGCCAGCAGCCGCGGUAAUACGGAGGGUGCAAGCGUUAAUCGGAAUUACUGGGCGUAAAGCGCACGCAGGCGGUUUGUUAAGUCAGAUGUGAAAUCCCCGGCUCAACUGGGAACUGCAUUGAAACUGGCAAGCUAGAGUCUCGUAGAGGGGGUAGAAUUCCAGGUGUAGCGGUGAAAUGCGUAGAGAUCUGGAGGAAUACCGGUGGCGAAGGCGGCCCCCUGGACGAAGACU